UCCUCACUAAUCAAGCACUAAAAAAUCUCACAACUUUCUUCACUUCACAAACAUCAAUCUCCGAGUACUUACAACGACACUCCCUCCCUCCCUCCCUCUCUUUCUGUGAAGAAGAGGCUAAUAUGGGAUCAGUGUCGCUGAAAAUAGGAGAUGGAACAGCCAGAUUCAAGAGAGCAAGUUUCUGUUCAUCAGCAGUGAACAUUCUCAUGCUCUUCUCUGUACUAACCACUAAUCUUUUUGCAUUAUAUGCCUUCACAUCUUCUCCAAAAGACCAUCAAACUCACCUCUUUCACAAUCCCCAUAAAAAUAUAUCUUUGAUCUCUGAGCAUGUCUCUUUAAUACUAAGAGAGAUCGCUGCUUCUCAAAAAAAGCUUGCCGGGAUGGAGAAAGAGCUUUUGGGCUAUGAAACUAUGGAUAUUUCAAGGCCGAAUAUUGCAAGUGAGCUCAAAUUGUUUUUGCAACACCAUCAACUCCCUCUUGGCAAAGAUUCAAGAACUGGGAUCACUGAAAUGGUGGCUUCUGUGGGUCAUUCUUGUGAGAAAUCUGCAGACUUGUUGUCUCAGUAUAUGGCUUACAAGGUUUCUGGGCCCUGUCCUGGUGAUUGGAGCCUUGGCCAGAAGUUGAUUUUGCGUGGAUGCGAGCCUUUGCCCAGAAGGAGAUGCUUUGCAAAGUCUGUUCAAAAGGUGGGUCUUUAUCGUUUUCCUGUUUCUCUUUGGAAACCUGUUAGUGAAAAGAUUUUAACUUGGAGUGGUCUUGGUUGCAAGAAUCUUGAGUGCUUGAAUAGAAAGAAGUUGAGCAGGGAUUGUGUUGGUUGCUUUAAUAUUACUAGUGGUUAUGAGACUCAAAGGUUUGUUAAAGCUCGAGGCAAGAAUGAUUUUAUCAUUGAUGAUGUGUUAGCUUUAGCAAGUGGGGGAAUUAGAAUUGGAUUUGAUAUUGGUGGUGGGUCUGGGACUUUUGCUGCUAGGAUGGCAGAGAGAAAUGUGACUGUGAUUACUAAUACUUUGAAUGUGGAUGCUCCAUUUAGUGAAUUUAUUGCAGCAAGAGGGCUUUUCCCUUUGUAUUUGAGUUUAGAUCACAGGUUCCCUUUCUAUGACAAUGUUUUCGAUUUAAUUCAUGCUUCUAGUGGAUUGGAUGGAGGGGACAAACCUGAAAAACUGGAGUUCCUAAUGUUUGACAUCGAUCGAAUUCUGAGGGCUGGUGGAUUGUUUUGGUUGGAUAACUUCUACUGCGCAGAUGAUGAGAAGAAGACAGCUUUGACUCGACUGAUUGAGCGGUUUGGGUAUAAGAAGCUGAAAUGGGUUGUGGGAGAGAAGAUAGACACAGCUGGGUCAGGGAAAUCAGAAGUUUAUUUGUCUGCCGUACUACAAAAGCCAGCAAGAGUGUGAUGAUUACUGGAGUUUUCACAGGAAACUGAAAGAGGUUAAAAAGAUGCUGUGGGCAGAUGGCAGCUGGAGCUGGCUUUUUGGACAUAAUUUGCUGGCUUCUCCAUAAGGGGAGGGACGUAGGAGUUUUACUAUAUUUACUCCUUUUCACCGUCCAUCACAAGUGGUUUCAAACGUCGAGGAUAGACCUUGACAAAGUGGAGGCUGAAUUGGAUGUGCCCACAUGACUCACCCUCACCGCUAGGGUGAGAUAUGAAAUAAGUUCGCCGGGAAAGCUUGCUUUAGGUUUGAACAGGGGAGGAACCAUUCCGAUAACGUUCUUCUCCACCAGGUGGGAAAACGUCCAUUUAGUUGCGAGGGGGCAUGACUUGGCUGAAGAAGUUUUAUCAAGCAUGGAUACCCUCUGUGAUGGGGGCAUUGAUGCCUUGGAUGUUGGCGCUGUUGAGAAGCUUCAUUCCCUCCUCACUCAUCUGCUGAACUUCUGAAGGUGACAGAAUCCUAAUGCAGCGAACACAGCCAACGAAUUCCCUGCACAAGCACAUCAAACUUAGGCCUUGAAUUAGAAAGGACUUCUUUGCUAUCUACACACAAAGAAUGUAUAUAACCACAAGCAAACCAGCAAGAAAUUGGAAAGGGCAAAAGGACACUUACUCCCAAGGAUCAUCACCUAUGAGUAGAACAUCAUUCUCGUAGUCCACAUAUACUAAUUUCCACCCAGAACCUUUAGGGUUAUUUAGCAGCCCAUCAAGUCCAAACAUGCAUUCAAUAGCGGAGCAUAGUUCUUCAUAAUUUUUGAAACUUGAGACAUCAAUUGACCUCCCAACAGACCCUGUCUUCUGAACCUGUAAACCAUAAACAAUGUUAGCACCCACCAUUCGAUGAAAUGUAAUAAAAUCAUGGGAAAAAAACAUCCAAAUGCCCUCAAUCUCACUCACAAACAUGCAGAGAGACUAAAAACCUGAACAAAGAUUGUUACCAAAGAUCUUUUAUUUACAACACAAUCAUGCAUACCUUGGUAUAUGUGCGCACACGUGGGGCUACUUGCUGCCAUGAGUUAUUCUGGAGCAGAUUGCUAUUAUCAAAUUCAAUGUUGCUUGAAGAUGUGCCACCUGAGUUGUCAGGAAAGUCUUGCCGUGAGAAAGCUUGGGAAUCUGCUAGGCUUGCUGAGGUAAUCUGAGACUGAACAUCCUGGCUUGAGCUGAGGUUGCCAACUAGACAAUCUGAAGCAUUCUGCAAAUCAGCAUCCUUUAAUGUGCAGAACUCAUCUAGAAUAGCACUUGAGACAGACCGAUCAUACACAGAACCACCACCAUUGCUAGCAUCAAUGUUAAGAGAACCAUAUAUUCCACUUUGAUCAUUGCUCUCGUCAGAUGAAUCCUUCACUGCACCUGAGUUGAAGCUACAUGGCUCUUGCUGAGCCAAAGGAAUCAAUUGGUUUGCUUCGGAUAAAAUUCUCAAAUUGCUCAUCUGAUGAUCCCACGCAUCUUGAUGCAUAAAAGGUAAAGAGGGAUCUUGUAAUCCAAACAUAGACAACGGUCCUGAUCUAUACAUACUGUCAAUAGACAUUGGAUGUGAUAUCCAUUCGCCUGCAUCUAGAAAUGGAAGAGAACAGUUUGGUGUAGUGGCAUCAGCUAGAGAUGCACGGAUCUGCUGGGAAUUAAGUAGCGAUGACUCUGUAAGUGCCUGCACUGGCCAGAGGCUGGCUUGUAAUUGUGACUGGCCCUGAUUCUGAUUUUGGAACACCAGAUGAUUUGUGGCAUUCUGCUGAGUCAUAGGACACGAGAUUGGUUUUUGCACAAUGCACUCUCUUGUUGAGGCUGGUUGGCUUAACUGAUCUGGCAAAUGCUCAGGUUUUGCUUUGAAUUUCCCAUCAACAACUCCAACUGACGCUUGAUUUUCAACUUUGCUCAAAGAAAGUGACUUCCCAGCUACAUUUGCUUUUGAUGAAGAUGAGUUCAUGGCAUUGGAUUGGUCUAGACAGAUCUGGGAAUAGUUUUGGUUUUCUAUGGGCGUAAUUCCUGACUGGUUUAGCUGAGGCGUCUGAUUAAUUGCUGCCUGCAUGUUAUUAACAUCUAAUGAAGCCACCUUCACAGCAGAUACUUCUGGUAGUGCAGUUCCACAGAUUCCAGGAUAGUUAACAGCUUGAGGUUUCAUUAGCAUGUUAAUCAGUUGUUCAGAAUAUAUGUUUGACAUUGAAGCACAUGGAAGACUUGCAUUUCCACUCCCUGGAAGCAAUGCAAGAGGCUUUUUUACCAAACCCCCCCAUUCAGUAUCUCCU